UAACAACACAACCUUCCAGAGCAUCAGAAUAAACAAAUUAAGUAUCAUAAGAGAGAAUUGAUAACUGUGUACAUGAAUCUUCGGCUGAAUACCAAUAAUGCCUCUCUAUCACAAUGCUGCAGAAUUUUUCAGCUUCUGAGAUGGUGUGGAUGAGCCCAAUUUGAUCAAAAUUUAUCUCUGUGCUCCUGGUAAAAAGUUUGCUAGGGAGGGAACCCCUUGUUGCCUC
rnacentral:misc_RNA from 1 species